GCCUGGCAGACACAACCAGGGAGGAGUGGGGAUUGGAAAGAGGCAGAGCAGGUAGAAAGGAAGCUGUGAUGGGUUGUUAGGCAUGUGAGCACAUGGAACAGGUGGACCAUUCUAGCUCAGGAGAGAAAGCAGGCCCAAAUGGCAAAGCAGAAAGAACUUAAAGGGGUAGACUAAAUCCUGACUGGGAAGAUUGGAUUUGGAAGGAGUGAGGAAUCACUACAAGCUCUAUCCUUUGGAAACUCGCAAGAAUCGAAUCCCUCCCUCACAAACACACUUAAAAUACUUGAGGACAGCCAUCUUCCGCCUACUCAAGCCCCACAGACGGCCAGGAGCUGUGUCAAAAACUGAAAUCAAUGCAAGUUGGAUUAAACUGUAAAAACUUUUGUGCGUGCAGAAGGGCAGCUCUUGAACCAGGAGACUUAAAGCUGAAAGUAGCCAGCGCUCAGAAAACGAGGUUGUCAACUGGAACAUCUAACACCUGGGGGUCUCCUUGGUCACCCUGUCACUCCUGUCUAAAAGGGUGUGCAUAGUUGUCAACUGGAACAUCUAACACCUGGGGGUCUCCUUGGUCAUCCAGUCACUCCUGUCUAAAAGGCUUCAGCACAGACCCCAACAGCUGGAGGACUCUGACUGCCGUGUGUGUGUUAUUGCUGUCCCUGGGCCCAAGUGUGUCAGGGGUCCAGGCCUCACUGGUGGGGCCCCAGCUUUGUGUGCAGGACCCCGUGUGGCGGUUCCCAUGACGGAGCCUGUGGAGGCUGCCGGCUCCUGGCCGUCUGUGCCGCUAUCUGCAAUCUGUAGCUUUGUCUCCUUCCCAUCUGCUGAGGCCUCCCUUGUAAUCAGCAGGUGUCUUUCCUCUGAGGGGACCGGGCUCCUCCCUGCUCUUCAGCUGCUCCUUCCUCUCAGCUUCUGAGUGUCUGGACUGGCCAGUCUGUGCACACCUUUGGGUCAGAGAACAAAGACUUUUUUUUGGACAUGAGCCAGGCUGGGAAAGUGUCUCUGAGUGUCCCUCAGUCCAGUCAGGCUUUCUGGGACCUCCUCGCAGGCUGGGUUGCUGGGGAACAGAGGGUUUAUUCUGAAGUGGGAAAGGGGAGAGAAAAUGUAUUCCAACCAGACGGAAAGGCAAGAGAGCCAUGAUUCAGGCAUCUGGGGAUGUUCAGAGACUUGAAAAGUGUCCCUUGGCCUGUGGGGCCUGUGUGGGAGCUCUGCAGUGCUGCACAGGACACUCCGAGCAGGUUCGCACUGUAUCUCUGGCACCUGGUGCAUGGCCUGGCACUGCAGGUGUUCAGUGAGCACCUGUCGGAUGGAUGAGUGAAUGAAUGAGCAGAAGGUGGCUUCCGGAAACAGCCUGUGUGCUAUGGCAUUUUCUUCAGACAAGUAAGACCUUUGUCUGGAGUCAAGAGGGACACUGGUUAGAAUCCUGACUUCAUCAUUUACUAGCUUGUGAGGCCAGACCAGUUCACUGGGACCCCCUGAGGCCACUGUCAGGAUUCCCUCAGAGGACUUCAUAGACCUCAGGCCCAGGGCCUGGCUCUCUGAGGGCUCCAUGUUGCUACUUGAAAUCUUCUCCUAAGUUGCCUCCCACUUCUUUCUCACCUUAUAAAAUCUCUAAGAUUGAGGAAUGCCAGAAGCAACUGCCAGAAUCAGUUGAGGGCUCGGGCUCCACACAGCCUGGGAGAGGGGCUGUCCUGGCCCUCCACAGACAGGGGUACAUGGACUGAGCAGUGCAGGGAACCCAGAGGAAUAAACGAGGAGUUCCUGAACCCCCCAUGAGGCCAGCAUUUGAUGCAACUCCUUUAGGCUCAGGUCAGAGUUCAGGGCAUCACCAAGGAGGCUGCCAUUGGUUCUAUCUGUAAGUCUUGCUCUUUCUUAGCCCCUUUAUGCAACCCCAGAGCCCACAGCUGUGGGAAGCAGACUAUCUGGCUUUCCUGAAGUCUGAGCAAUUGGCAGGUAAGACAACUUUGUUACUUGGAUCUGCAAGAAUCGCAGAGGCUUAGUUUGUCCUCUCACAGGGACACCAUGCUUGUGGGCAUCACAAAUAGACUCUCUGUCUUCCAUGCGAUUCCCCUCCUCCACAUUUUAGCACUUUCCUUUGGAAAGCAAGGAUCUGAGAGAAAAGAUGCAAUAGUGGGAAGGGACCAGCAGUUUUGAGUGUGGG